UACAGAGGUCUCAAGCGUUGUUCGGAUUCAUUGGGCGUAAAGGGUGCGUAGGCGGCGCGGUAAGUCGGGUGUGAAAUUUCGAGGCUUAACUUCGAAACUGCAUUCGAUACUGCCGUGCUUGAGGACUGGAGAGGAGACUGGAAUUUACGGUGUAGCGGUGAAAUGCGUAGAUAUCGUAAGGAAGACCAGUGGCGAAGGCGGGUCUCUGGACAGUUCCUGACGCUGAGGCACGAAGGCCAGGGAGCAAACGGG
rnacentral:rRNA from 1 species